UACCGGCGGCUCGAGUGGUGGCCGAUAUUAUUGAGUCUAAAGGGUCCGUAGCCGGCUUUGCAAGUCUCUCGGGAAAUCCAGCGGCUUAACCGUUGGGCGUCUGGGGGCUACUACAUUGCUUGGGACUGGGAGAGGCGAGAGGUACUCAGGGGGUAGGAGUGAAAUCCUGUAAUCCUUUGGGGACCACCGGUGGCGAAGGCGUCUCGCCAGAACAGGUCCGACGGUGAGGGACGAAAGCUAGGGGC
rnacentral:rRNA from 1 species